UAUGUGGACUGUUUAUUUGCCGUGACAGUUUGAAAUUGAAUUGGUUGCAGGGUAAGUGGGUGUUUGGCUUAGAUGUAUAAUCCUUGGGUCAGGUCUUUGAAUAGGCUGAUUGUGUUUGAGUCUUGAGGUGGUUUAUUUGAAUUCUUUUGGCUUAAGCGCAAGUUCGGUUAGCAGCUGUUUGGAUCGGAUUGAAAGUGAGCGAAUUGGCUACGGGAUGUAUAUGUAUGAAUGUAGUGUGGAUAUGGUUGAUAUGUCUUGGAAAUGUAUGAAAGUGGUAUUGGACAGAGGCAAUUAUUUGGUUUUGGAAUGCUGAUUGGAAAGAUGUAUGGUG